GGUUAAGCGACUAAGCGUACACGGUGGAUGCCCUGGCAGUCAGAGGCGAUGAAGGACGUGCUAAUCUGCGAUAAGCGUCGGUGAGGUGAUAUGAACCGUUAUAACCGGCGAUUUCCGAAUGGGGAAACCCAGUGUGUUUCGACACACUAUCAUUAACUGAAUCCAUAGGUUAAUGAGGCGAACCGGGGGAACUGAAACAUCUAAGUACCCCGAGGAAAAGAAAUCAACCGAGAUUCCCCCAGUAGCGGCGAGCGAACGGGGAGGAGCCCAGAGCCUGAAUCAGUGUGUGUGUUAGUGGAAGCGUCUGGAAAGGCGUGCGAUACAGGGUGACAGCCCCGUACACAAAAAUGCACAUAUUGUGAGCUCGAUGAGUAGGGCGGGACACGUGGUAUCCUGUCUGAAUAUGGGGGGACCAUCCUCCAAGGCUAAAUACUCCUGACUGACCGAUAGUGAACCAGUACCGUGAGGGAAAGGCGAAAAGAACCCCGGCGAGGGGAGUGAAAAAGAACCUGAAACCGUGUACGUACAAGCAGUGGGAGCCUCUUAAUGGGGUGACUGCGUACCUUUUGUAUAAUGGGUCAGCGACUUAUAUUCUGUAGCAAGGUUAACCGAAUAGGGGAGCCGAAGGGAAACCGAGUCUUAACUGGGCGUUAAGUUGCAGGGUAUAGACCCGAAACCCGGUGAUCUAGCCAUGGGCAGGUUGAAGGUUGGGUAACACUAACUGGAGGACCGAACCGACUAAUGUUGAAAAAUUAGCGGAUGACUUGUGGCUGGGGGUGAAAGGCCAAUCAAACCGGGAGAUAGCUGGUUCUCCCCGAAAGCUAUUUAGGUAGCGCCUCGUGAAUUCAUCUCCGGGGGUAGAGCACUGUUUCGGCAAGGGGGUCAUCCCGACUUACCAACCCGAUGCAAACUGCGAAUACCGGAGAAUGUUAUCACGGGAGACACACGGCGGGUGCUAACGUCCGUCGUGAAGAGGGAAACAACCCAGACCGCCAGCUAAGGUCCCAAAGUCAUGGUUAAGUGGGAAACGAUGUGGGAAGGCCCAGACAGCCAGGAUGUUGGCUUAGAAGCAGCCAUCAUUUAAAGAAAGCGUAAUAGCUCACUGGUCGAGUCGGCCUGCGCGGAAGAUGUAACGGGGCUAAACCAUGCACCGAAGCUGCGGCAGCGACGCUUAUGCGUUGUUGGGUAGGGGAGCGUUCUGUAAGCCUGUGAAGGUGUACUGUGAGGUAUGCUGGAGGUAUCAGAAGUGCGAAUGCUGACAUAAGUAACGAUAAAGCGGGUGAAAAGCCCGCUCGCCGGAAGACCAAGGGUUCCUGUCCAACGUUAAUCGGGGCAGGGUGAGUCGACCCCUAAGGCGAGGCCGAAAGGCGUAGUCGAUGGGAAACAGGUUAAUAUUCCUGUACUUGGUGUUACUGCGAAGGGGGGACGGAGAAGGCUAUGUUGGCCGGGCGACGGUUGUCCCGGUUUAAGCGUGUAGGCUGGUUUUCCAGGCAAAUCCGGAAAAUCAAGGCUGAGGCGUGAUGACGAGGCACUACGGUGCUGAAGCAACAAAUGCCCUGCUUCCAGGAAAAGCCUCUAAGCAUCAGGUAACAUCAAAUCGUACCCCAAACCGACACAGGUGGUCAGGUAGAGAAUACCAAGGCGCUUGAGAGAACUCGGGUGAAGGAACUAGGCAAAAUGGUGCCGUAACUUCGGGAGAAGGCACGCUGAUAUGUAGGUGAAGCGACUUGCUCGUGGAGCUGAAAUCAGUCGAAGAUACCAGCUGGCUGCAACUGUUUAUUAAAAACACAGCACUGUGCAAACACGAAAGUGGACGUAUACGGUGUGACGCCUGCCCGGUGCCGGAAGGUUAAUUGAUGGGGUUAGCGGUAACGCGAAGCUCUUGAUCGAAGCCCCGGUAAACGGCGGCCGUAACUAUAACGGUCCUAAGGUAGCGAAAUUCCUUGUCGGGUAAGUUCCGACCUGCACGAAUGGCGUAAUGAUGGCCAGGCUGUCUCCACCCGAGACUCAGUGAAAUUGAACUCGCUGUGAAGAUGCAGUGUACCCGCGGCAAGACGGAAAGACCCCGUGAACCUUUACUAUAGCUUGACACUGAACAUUGAGCCUUGAUGUGUAGGAUAGGUGGGAGGCUUUGAAGUGUGGACGCCAGUCUGCAUGGAGCCGACCUUGAAAUACCACCCUUUAAUGUUUGAUGUUCUAACGUUGGCCCCUGAUCGGGGUUGCGGACAGUGUCUGGUGGGUAGUUUGACUGGGGCGGUCUCCUCCUAAAGAGUAACGGAGGAGCACGAAGGUUGGCUAAUCCUGGUCGGACAUCAGGAGGUUAGUGCAAUGGCAUAAGCCAGCUUGACUGCGAGCGUGACGGCGCGAGCAGGUGCGAAAGCAGGUCAUAGUGAUCCGGUGGUUCUGAAUGGAAGGGCCAUCGCUCAACGGAUAAAAGGUACUCCGGGGAUAACAGGCUGAUACCGCCCAAGAGUUCAUAUCGACGGCGGUGUUUGGCACCUCGAUGUCGGCUCAUCACAUCCUGGGGCUGAAGUAGGUCCCAAGGGUAUGGCUGUUCGCCAUUUAAAGUGGUACGCGAGCUGGGUUUAGAACGUCGUGAGACAGUUCGGUCCCUAUCUGCCGUGGGCGCUGGAGAACUGAGGGGGGCUGCUCCUAGUACGAGAGGACCGGAGUGGACGCAUCACUGGUGUUCGGGUUGUCAUGCCAAUGGCACUGCCCGGUAGCUAAAUGCGGAAGAGAUAAGUGCUGAAAGCAUCUAAGCACGAAACUUGCCCCGAGAUGAGUUCUCCCUGAGACUUUAAGUCUCCUGAAGGAACGUUGAAGACGACGACGUUGAUAGGCCGGGUGUGUAAGCGCAGCGAUGCGUUGAGCUAACCGGUACUAAUGAACCGUGAGGCUUAACCUU
rnacentral:rRNA from 1 species